UACGGAGGGUGCAAGCGUUAUCUGGAUUCACUGGGUUUAAAGGGUGCGUAGGUGGGUCUGUAAGUCAGUGGUGAAAUCUCCGUGCUUAACUCGGAACGGUCAAGUGAUACUGUCGGACUAGAGUACAGAAGGGGCAACUGGAAUUCUCGGUGUAGCGGUGAAAUGCGUAGAUAUCGAGAGGAACACCUGCGGCGAAGGCGGGUUGCUGGGCUGAUACUGACGCUGAGGCGCGAAAGCCAGGGGAGCGAACGGG
rnacentral:rRNA from 1 species